rnacentral:rRNA from 1 species
UACGAAGGGGGCAAGCGUUGUUCGGAAUUACUGGGCGUAAAGGGCGCGUAGGCGGCUUAUCAAGUCAGGCGUGAAAUUCCCGGGCUCAACCUGGGGGCUGCGCUUGAUACUGAUGAGCUUGAAUGCGGGAGAGGAUAGUGGAAUUCCCAGUGUAGAGGUGAAAUUCGUAGAUAUUGGGAAGAACACCGGUGGCGAAGGCGGCUCACUGGCUCGUAACUGACGCUCAUGCACGACAGCGUGGGGAUCAAACAGG